AGCUCUUAAAGCUGGCUCUAAGGCUCGGUGCAGGGCUCUUUUGCUUUUGUCUCUGAAAAUUCUCAUGCAUUCACACAGAGAUCAUCAACAAAAAUAGGGCAAUCUGAUGACUGCCUUCUGUGGUUCCACAGGGAAGGUGUUCAUCUUGGAUUCCAAGAAACAAAUAGUGUUUUUUUAAAUAUCCACAGAUUACCAAAAUACAAUCACAGUCAACUAAGGUGUAUGAUCAGGAUCAUGUCUGCACAGCAGGUUGAUUUAUUAGGUAAUCAUAGAAUCACAGAAUCAUAGAAUGGCCUGGGUUGAAAAGGACUACAAUGAUCAUCGAGUUUCAACCUCCCUGCUAUGUGCAGGGUUGCCAACCACCAGACCAGGCUGCCCAGAGCCACAUCCAGCCUGGCCUUGAAUGCAUCCAGAGAUGGGGCAUCCACAACCUCCUUGAGCAACCUGUUCCAGGGCAGUUCCAGAGCUAUGUCUUUGGUGGGAAUAAUAGGAUUCAAGUGUCAGUUCUGUGGGUGGAGCUCAGGUGCCUCUGGCAGAGCACUGUCCUAAUCCCCUUCCAUGGAUCAGACCAUGCCCAGGUUUCUACAGAGCUACUUGGGAAACUUCGCAUAGUGUUGCAGUACAACAGACAGAUAAAUCCUGAGCACAGAGGACCAGCACUACCCCUGCCUAUUGCAGCACUGUGAAGUCAAGUGCCAUGUAGAAGGAAGUGUCAGGUGACAGAACACCUCAAAAGACUGAGACAAGAAAAGCUGCCAAAGGGUAGCCACCACCUCCUUCAAAACUACGCUCCCAGAUGUAUAAUAUUCCAUGAUGGUAAAAAGAACCUCAUUUAUUAAACACAGAAACAGAAAUGCACUAUAUUUGGGUCCUUGGUAGUAAGAUUAUGAAAACUGACAGAAUGUGGACUUUGAUGUAACUCAGAAUGGUUAAUAUCAAAAUUUCCAGUGGGGUUUUAAAUUUGUUGUUUGAGACUAUCUGUAUUUCUGGCAAGGAGUUUGCUUCAGUGCUUUUCUUUAGUGGUAUUAAAGGAGUUCUCCUAUAUUAAAAGUUUUAUAUUUUGAUGGAUGUUAAAAUUAAAGGAAAACUUUAUUAAAUCACUGCACAAUAUAGUAAAUGUAAUGAAGCACAUUUCAAAUUAAAUGGAUUGGAAGGAAAAUCUGUGUAACCGUUGUCAAGCAGGGUUCUCUUCAGAAGUAAAAUUGCAGCUUUAAUAUACAAUUCUUUCUGAGUAUUAUAUGAAUUGCCUAGUUCUUCUAUAUUAAAGACUGAAGAAAGCAUAGAAAAUUUUCAUGUGGAAAGCAUUCAUUUCCUUAAAUUUAAAGCACUCUUGUCUAACCAGUUCAAAUACUGAUUUGAAGUGCACAAAGCUGAGAGAGAACUCUCUGAACAUCUGCAAACAAGGAAGAAACCAGUGGAUGGGAUUUAUUUGCAUGUCUUCAAUUAAGCACAAUAAUCUUUUUCAAUGGAAAAGGCUAUGGAGCAGCUCAGUUGCACAACUGAGUGAAGGCAGACAGCCUCUCUCGAGCCGGGAGCCCCAUCACGAUGGAUGAAGCCUGCAGUAUUUGUUUUAUUUUAACAGUUUUCUGUAGGACCUAAACAUGAUUUAUUUCAAGUGGAAG
ensembl:lncRNA